GGAUUAGAUACCCUGGUAGUCCACGCCGUAAACGAUGAGAACUAGCCGUUGGGGUACUAGAUACCUUAGUGGCGCAGCUAACGCGAUAAGUUCUCCGCCUGGGGAGUACGGCCGCAAGGUUAAAACUCAAAUGAAUUGACGGGGGCCCGCACAAGCGGUGGAGCAUGUGGUUUAAUUCGAUGCAACGCGAAGAACCUUACCUGGUCUUGACAUCGCGCGAACUUUCCAGAGAUGGAUUGGUGCCUUCGGGAACGCGCAGACAGGUGCUGCAUGGCUGUCGUCAGCUCGUGUCG
rnacentral:rRNA from 1 species